CUGACAGCUCUGAAGGCUGAACUGUUCUAUUUAUCCACAGAACAGGUGCAGCAGCAGGGUAACAACAAUCAGUAACAUGCCUUAACCUUGACCUGGAAGGGCCAACCCUAGUGACACUUUACGUGGUCAUUGAAUCCUGAGCCUCU
ensembl:misc_RNA